ACGAACGCUGGCGGCGUGCUUAACCCAUGCAAGUCGAACGGAAAGGCCCUGCUUUUGUGGGGUGCUCGAGUGGCGAACGGGUGAGUAACACGUGAGUAACCUGCCCUUGACUUUGGGAUAACUUCAGGAAACUGGGGCUAAUACCGGAUAGGAGCUCCUGCUGCAUGGUGGGGGUUGGAAAGUUUCGGCGGUUGGGGAUGGACUCGCGGCUUAUCAGCUUGUUGGUGGGGUAGUGGCUUACCAAGGCUUUGACGGGUAGCCGGCCUGAGAGGGUGACCGGCCACAUUGGGACUGAGAUACGGCGCAGACUCCUACGGGAGGCAGCAGUGGGGAAUAUUGCACAAUGGGCGGAAGCCUGAUGCAGCAACGCCGCGUGCGGGAUGACGGCCUUCGGGUUGUAAACCGCUUUCGCCUGUGACGAAGCGUGAGUGACGGUAAUGGGUAAAGAAGCACCGGCUAACUACGUG
rnacentral:rRNA from 1 species